ensembl:lncRNA
UCACAAUUUGCUUUCACUUUGAAUAGACAAAAAUGAAAGCUCCCCCCAACAAAUAUUGAGAUUUUUACACUGAAUGGGAUAGGUUUUGCAUUUUAAAAUAAAAAUACAAACUUGAUGGAAAGACUGAAAAACAUAAUCAAGCCAGAAGUUACAUGAUUGGAACCCCAUUUUUAAACAUAAAUUAUUUGCAGUAUGACAAAGGAGAAAGAUCUGUGCUUUUUAAAUACCUUGGUCUGAAGACAAAUCUAUAUAUAGUCAAUUUUUUUUGAAUUAAAAUAUUUAGAUAAGAGCUAAUACUAAAUUUGUAACAGAAUCUUUGCUCUUCAGGUUUAUAUAUUGCUUCUAACAGUUUCAUCUAGAAGAUAGAUGGCACUUUGCAUUCACAAAAUAUCGUGCAAAGCAUUAAUCACAUAAUCUUCACUGUCUGCUCUGUAAUAGAUAACAGAAAAAAACAUUUCACAAAGAGAGAAACUGAGCAGCCAGACAACUCAACCACAAGAAAAGCUGCCAUUUAUGCUUAAGACUUUCUAAUUCCACUCUUGACCCAGCUUUAUGCCUCUUCUGCACUGCCUGUACGGUUCACAGCUUUCUCAGUAACACAUCUGCAACUUCUCUGUACUUACAGGCUCAUUUCCAGGUAGUUUUCCUUAUUCCAGAAUAAAAUACUUGAGAGCAGGAGCUCAGCUAAGCAGAGCUGCCAGAAGGGUGCUCUGCCCAGCCCAGGACCCACCUGGGCAGCAGCUAAAGAACCCAGCAGGGAUUUCUUUCUGCAAAAUUACAGCCCAGGGUUGGGUUUCAAAUACUUGUAGCCCAAGGACUGGUUUGGAGCAACAUUGCUGGGUGACCUUGGUCAAGCUUUACUGAGAAAACUGUUGCUUCAAUUGGAAUAGAGAACAUGAGCUAAAGCCAUGCAAAAUAAGGACAAAAAGAUCAAAGUUCAAUUGUUGACUUGAUGAUAAUUAGCCACGCAAACAAAAGUAUUGAAAAAAUAUAAAACUAUAAGAAAUAAGAAUCAAAAAAGCAAAAGAAUGACCUCAGCAAGACUGAGGACCAGGCUCUUUGAAGAGAAAACAGAGGUCAACACGUCUCUCCUGCCUGGCUCCAGAAACUCUUGGUUAUCUCCUUGGUGCUGAUGAGCAUACUGUUAGCAUAAUGCUCAAUACAUGAUGUCCACAUAAAUACAUGUGUAACCCCAUCAGGUGUUGAAAGACAUUUGGCUUGAGGUGAGAGAGCAAAGCAGGAUAUUUCAGUAAUGGAUUUGAGCAGGUACAAAGAAUUUACAAAGAAUUCUACUUGGUAAGGCAGUGAGACUGCCAUAGCAAUAGAGGUCUGCAGUACAACAUCUAAAACUAGAGUGAUCUCAAUCUCUUCAAAUCCAGAUGUGAUUCAAAAUGAAAUUUAUUUCAUUACUGUUCUCCUUGGCAUAGUAGUGAGUACCUUUUGUGUCAAGACUUCAGAUCCAGAACUAAAGUAAACAGGAUGAUCUUCCAGUCAAGAACAAGUGACAACACAUUUUCUUUUACACUUAGAUGUGGGUUUCUCGAGACAACACACCAAUUAUCUAAACAUUUUUGAAUUCUCUUUUCAAAAGCCAGAAUGCAAACGUAUAACACGACACAGAUUUGAACUUUAAUCUUAAGAUGAUGAAUUUCUAGAACCAAUCUCAGUGACAUUUAAUUUUACUCCAUAUUUUGGGACUCUGUCAGCUAUUUAAGCUAUUAAUCUAUAGCUUACUACACUUCCCUGGUAGCAAUAUUGGGUCCCAAGGCUGACUUCAAAGAGCUAGGGAAUGACUACACAAAAAUGGGAAGAAGGCCAAAAAGCAAUUAAUUUUUGUUCUACCAUUUCAUUAUAUUUACACAUACAUGGAAAUACACAGCCAAAUAUCAUUCCAAGGUUUCCUUUAAUCAGGCUAAACAAGCAGUGCUCAGCAGAUGUCUAGCGGGCAGCAGUCAAUGAAAAGUCAUGUUUUGGACUGAGGCUUUCCUGACUGCCCAGAUAAUCUGAUUUCUUUUGCCACACUAGGAUUCCCAAAGUGGAAUCCCUGCACACCUACAUAAGUCAAGGUGACUUAACUACUGCUGGAUUCUGAGCUUUCUAUUUAGAGCUUGACUAAAGGUUUGGGUUUGGUUUGCUAGGGUUUGGGUAUUUUAUUUUUUUUUCAAAAUAGGGUAUUUUCCACCAUUCUUACAAUUUUUUGAGAGUUCUCCAAAGUCACUGAAAGGUUUUCAGUGAAUUGCCAAGUCCUACAGAGCUUUUUUGACUAAAGUAUAGCACAGCUCCAAGCAACAGAUGAAGAACAGGUCAUGAUAGAUUUCCUCUAGGGAAUUGUACCUACUGAUUUUAGGGGUGGGUAGGGGAGAGAAUAUAUUUAAUAGCUCCUGAAAUUGUGUUACUUUAUAUGAUCAAGCAGAUAAUGUGUCACAAAAUGGGAGUAUAAAUAAUAUGCAUGUAACAACUCAGCUGUUCAUAAUAUCUCCCUGAAGCAAGACAGUGAAAUCUGAAUAAUAAAGUUGUGCAUAUCAUAUAAAAUAUAAAUGAGACAAACUAUUUUUAAAAAGUACUCUUCAUAUUUAAAAGGUUUAUCUAAGUAACCUAUUUCCUACUAUGUAUCUAAUACUUCACUAACUGUAAUAGCAGCAGCACAACCUAGACUGAUUACACUUACAGGAGAGAUGUUUCCAAGAAAAAUUCCAUCCAGUUUGGGUGCCAGCAGCUGAACAUUUCAGUUGACUAAAUAAGCAAAAUCCAGCUUUUGACUAAAUAUUACAGAGGUCAAAUUUUAAAUAGCUUCAAACUACAUUUCUGCAAGUAGGAACUUCAUAUGAAAUACGGUUUAAUUUUUUUUUGUAUAUGUGUUUUUGGGUUUUUUUUGAUUGCCACUUCUAAGGACCAAAUGAGAAAAAGUAAUUCAUUCAACUGUACUCACCAUUAACUUAUGAUAUCUGUUAACUCACUGUUAGGAAUUAAAACAAUUGGCUUCAGCAAACUUGACUAUAGAAGCAUUGUGAGGCAAGAUUAUACCAUGAAAGCUAUUUUAAAAAACACUUAUGUAACUUAUGUGGCUCAUUUCAAGACUGUCAGACUUCUAAAUUUUGUAAAGUACUGUGCCUAAGUUUUCUGGAAGUCAGUGUCCAACGUUUCGUCUUCCAGGUUCCCCCAGUUUUAAUCAGUUUUGGUUUAAUCUGAGACAGUAUUUUUUUCCAUUAUAAAACUCAGUUUGAUUAUUCCACCUCUUGGGGUCCUACACUUUUGUGGCUUUAAAGUGCUUCAUUCUUACUUAAUUGCUUUCAGGCAGACUUUAGAAAGAGCUCAGAACAAUCUCUCACUGAUGGAAAACCUCUGCUCUGUUAAAAGGCCAUCAAAAAAUGCACCUUUUUCCUUUUGCACCCAACUAAUCAGCACACAGAAACUGUGUUUAAGGAAUUCACAUUCUUAGGAACAUCCUUUUUGAACUUAGCUUCCCUUAGUGAUAAUUCAUAGCUCAAGAUAUACUUCACAAUACUGUCCUAAAUAGUGUUGAAUUGGUAUUCUCUGCUCCACUGGGCAAUCCAUCUAGACGUGUAAAGAAAAAUCAAGACAGUCACAAUUAUUUAUGGUUGACAGACACUGGCAACAUGAAAUUGCACAGUAACCCUUGGAAAGCCCUAUACCUUGUUUGAACAAUAAAAAGAUGAAGAUUCACAGCAAAUUGGUUAUUAUGAUUAGAAGGAAAUAAUAACCAACCCAAACCAAAAAACUAUCUCAGCAAUCAAGUGUCACUUAAAUUGCUUGAAUUAUUUGACAUAUCUUUAAUGUGUAAUACAUAUUAAUAAAACAAAUGAGAAAUACCACUGAGAUUUCAGAAGACAGCACUACAGUACAGCUGGAGAAAAAUCAACUUAAAAUGAAUUUAGAUCAUGGAAUCGAUAUCUAGGGAUUUACUAAGGAUCACUGAAUCCUUCAUUAUUGAUCCAUGAAAAUACCAUCCUUAUAUUAUGCAGGACACAAUUACAAGUUAUUUUUACAAAGUCACACAAUAAGCAUCAACAAGCUGUGUACUGAUUAAAAAUCAGUGCUGAAUAUAUUGCAUAAGGAAUUAAAGUCAUGUCAAAAAUGAGAGCAUGUUACAAAAUUCAUAGGCUUCAUGCUCUUAACUGGAGAUAUAAAAUGCAUGCUUGCUUCCUUGUCAUUUCAGUCUUUCCGGGAGCUUGAUGCUAAUAGGACCUCUACAUCUUCUCCUAACAUAGAAGGAGAAUUUAAAAUGAAAAUUACUCAAAUAAACUCUACAAAAAAAUUCACUAUAUUUUUCUACUUCAUAAAGACAACUGGCUUGACUGUUUUCUGCUAAAAUCUCAUAAACAGACUACAUUGUAUUUGUGUAGUUCAAUCUCUUAUUUUAUCAGUGACUCACUGCAUUACAUACAAAGAACACUGCCGCUCAAAUUGUAUUGCUAAUAAAUUGUAUCAUGUUAGAAUAUGUUUUUUUUCUCUCAGUUUUGCACCUCAUUCUCAGAAAAUAUUAAAGGAGGCACAUGAGAGGAAUUUUUUUUUUUUUUUUUACAACAGCAUUAAACGAAUGUUGUCUCCCAUCAAUAAUCUUCAAUUCCACAAAGCAACUUUCCAGUGCCAAAGAAAGUUCUGGUCUUGCAUUCAAGUCUCCAAUGCCCUGGCUGAAAACACCAGGGUAUAGUUGAGAUAAAUCUACCUAUAACCUUCCAAAUCACGGAGGCUGCAUUAAUUAGCCACACUUUCAGAAAAAUAGAAUAAAAGAUAUUAAUCUAAAAAUCUACACUUACAGGAAUAAAAAGUGAUUUAUAAGGACAUAAUCAACAAGUUUUAAACAGGAAUCUCUCAGAAUAUCUAAACUAUUUGCUAUCUAUAUCUGAAAUAAUAAUUAUUGGCAUUUUAUUCAUAUCAGAAUCCCACACAGAUGUUUUAGUUGCCCAUUUUUGCAUCAGUGACACCACUGGAAUGUGCUACAAGUUAUGGUUAGCACAAUAGCCUCAACCAGAAAUAGAGCACACUUUUUAUGUCUAUUUUAUAUUUGUCUGUUUUCAAAAAAACUAAAAGAAAUCUGUUGAUAGCAAGUUUUAGACAAAAUUGCAUUGAGACCCAUUACCAUGAAGUUUGUACAAACAAAAAUAUUAGCACCAGAAGUCCCCAAUGAAAAGAAAACCCAAACAACACAGGAAUGUUUACCCCAUAAUAUUCUUAGCAAAGUCAUAUAUAUGGGGUUUUGGUUUAUAAAUAGAUGCAAUUUGAGAGCAUGCAGUCAGUCAAACAGAAUGUGCCAGAAAAAAAGAGAAAAAAGGGAAACAUAAACUAACCAAUCAAAGAACAACAAAAAACUUAAAAAAAAAAAAAAAGAAAAAG